UGGCAGAAAAGAAUGGUGAGGGAGGAGGGGAGGCAUUUCUGUCACCUUCACCAAAACUGUAGAAGAGAAAAUAUAGCACUGCCCAAGAGAGUGCUAGAAACUUUGCAGAAUAUAUAUCAAGAACAAACCGUUCCUGAAAGACCAUAUGCCUGUUUUGGUAAUGAAGAAUAUUAAUCAGGUUAUUAAGAAUCUUUAAAAGGAACCAUGGACUCAGAAAAAACUUCCAUUCUUGUUAGUAAUCCCACUGUUUGUUGCUCAGAACAAUGCAACAAAUGACAACUGAGACUGGAAGAUUACGCAUCUUUACUUGCUUGUGAAAUGCCUAGUCUACUUCUUAUAGGGUGCAUCUACAUGUGCAAUUAAUGUGAUGUGAUAAACUGGUGCAGCUUGCGCCAAAGUCAGCUGCUCCUGGGUGCAGUGUCUACACAUGCGCCCUGGGACAACAGCAGUUUAAGCCAGGGCAGAGUAGCCCUAGCAGUAUGUUCAGGGGUUCAGCCCUGGGCUCCAGGUGGUGGCAUCAGGCAGCAGAGCGGCUGGCUGGGGCAUAAGAGUGCUAAAGUGUGGAGCCAUGCGGCAGGCAGUCCCUGCACUUAGCAGUGCACUCUCAUGCUCCAGCCAGCCCCUGCCACCAUCUACACGUGCGUUUCGUUGCGCUUAAUUACUCUGCUGUAAGAGUAAUUAAUAUUGGCUCACAUGUAGACAGUGAUACUUUAUGGCAGAGCUAACUGUUCAACUUUGCAGUAAAGCGCAUGUGUAGAUACACCCACAGAGUACCAAAAAGUAACAACUCCUCUGUGUUGCUGAUCUUUCAGAACUCCUGAGAAAAAUACAGACAGAGGAAAUGGGAAAGAGGAGCUUUGUAUUUACUAGGUUAGUCUGACACUUGCAGUUAAACAUCUCUCAACUAAACAUUAGAAGAAUUAUUUUGUUUGUAUGCAGUUAAAUAUCAAACCAACUCUCUUCCCACAUGAAUAGGCAUUUUAGCUCUGUUUAUAUGUUGACCCUAGAUUGUUUUGAAACUAUGCUGUACACUGGUAGCAAGAAACUUGUUACAGAAGCAUCAAGAAAGCUUUUCAAAUAAAGUUUGUCAAAUGCUACUGUUAUCUUGCUAAUGUUUCCAAGUCUCCGUCAGUUUGGUUAUGUGCUUCAUAAACGUUAUACCUGUUUCAGGACUAGUCUAUUCUGAGCAUUAGCUUAGCAA